rnacentral:rRNA from 1 species
UACGGGGGGUGCAAGCGUUGUUCGGAUUUACUGGGCGUAAAGGGCUCGUAGGCGGCCAACUAAGUCGGACGUGAAAUCCCUCAGCUUAACUGGGGAACUGCGUCCGAUACUGGAUGGCUUGGAUUUGGGAGAGGGAUGCGGAAUUCCAGGUGUUGCGGUGAAAUGCGUAGAUAUCUGGAGGAACACCGGUGGCGAAGGCGGCAUCCUGGACCAACAUUGACGCUGAGGAGCGAAAGCUAGGGGAGCAAACGGG